GGCCAGACUCCUACGGGAGGCAGCAGUGGGGAAUAUUGGGCAAUGGGCGCAAGCCUGACCCAGCAACGCCGCGUGAAGGAAGAAGGCUUUCGGGUUGUAAACUUCUUUUCUGGGGGACGAAGAAAGUGACGGUACCCCAGGAAUAAGCCACGGCUAACUACGUGCCAGCAGCCGCGGUAAUACGUAGGUGGCAAGCGUUAUCCGGAUUUAUUGGGUUUAAAGGGUGCGUAGGCGGAAUGCCAAGUCAGCGGUAAAAUCGCGGGGCUCAACCUCGCUCCGCCGUUGAAACUGGCGUUCUUGAGUGGGCGAGAAGUAUGCGGAAUGCGUGGUGUAGCGGUGAAAUGCAUAGAUAUCACGCAGAACUCCGAUUGCGAAGGCAGCGCACCGGCGCCCUACUGACGCUCAGGCACGAAAGCGUGGGUAUCGAACAGGAUUAGAUACCCGGGUAG
rnacentral:rRNA from 1 species